rnacentral:rRNA from 1 species
AUUGAACGCUGGCGGCAGGCCUAACACAUGCAAGUCGAACGAGAGGCGGACGGGUGAGUAAUGUCUGGGAACCUGCCUGAUGGAGGGGGAUAACUACUGGAAACGGUAGCUAAUACCGCAUACCAUCAGAUGUGCCCAGAUGGGAUUAUCUAGUAGGUGGGGUAAUGGCUCCCCUAGGCGACGAUCCCUAGCUGGUCUGAGAGGAUGACCAGCCACACUGGAACUGAGACACGGUCCAGACUCCUACGGGAGGCAGCAGUGGGGAAUAUUGCACAAUGGGCGCAAGCCUGAUGCAGCCAUGCCGCGUGUGUGAAGAAGGCUUUCGGGUUGUAAAGCACUUUCAGCGGGGAGGCGUUACUCGCAGAAGAAGCACCGGCUAACUCCGUGCCAGCAGCCGCGGUAAUUC